CUACGGGUGGCUCCAGUAGGGAAUAUUGGACAAUGGGCGAAAGCCUGAUCCAGCAACACCGCGUGCACGAUGACGGCCUUCGGGUUGUAAAGUGCUUUUAGAGGAGAUGAGAAAGGACAGUAUCCUCUGAAUAAGCCUCGGCGAACUACGUGCCAGCAGCCGCGGUAAAACGUAGGAGGCAAGCGUUAUCCGGAUUUAUUGGGCGUAAAGCGCGUGCAGGCGGUCUAGCAAGUUGGAUGUGAAAGCUCCCGGCUCAACUGGGAGAGGUCGUUCAAUACUGUUAGACUAGAGAAUAGGAGAGGGAGGUGGAAUUCCGGGUGUAGUGGUGAAAUGCGUAGAUAUCCGGAGGAACACCAGUGGCGAAAGCGGCCUCCUGGACUAUUUCUGACGCUAAGACGCGAAAGCUAGGGUAGCAAACGGGAUUAGAUACCCUUGUAGUC
rnacentral:rRNA from 1 species